rfam:Gossypium arboreum cultivar AKA8401 contig_48888_1, whole genome shotgun sequence.
AUCCCAUGAUGAGGACACUAACAAAGUAGUUCCUGGAAUCGUUCCCAAGCGUCAUACAAAGACAAAUCAUCCAAUUGUUGAAAAGUUGUUAUCUCAUUUUGCAACU